UGAGGGUAGAGAAAAGGGUCUGGAGAGUUGAAGGUGGUAUGGACGAUGGUGAUAGAGAAGCCUCUGGUAUGGAGAAGGUUACCCAGCUGGACCAUGGGACGGAUGUGACCUUGAAAUGGCGAUGGGAACAGGACGAUUCUCCUCCCUUGUCUUUCUUCCAUUUUGUGUGGAUGAUAUGAUCCUUUUACGCCUUUUAUUUUGACAACUUAUGCUUAUAAAUAGUAUUUAUAUAUUUCUAUAUAAUAACAUGAGAGCAAGUGAAGUGCAUGAACCGAAUCUUCCAACAUUAAAAAUUCUGUUCGGACACAUAACGUUAAUUGGCAAAACAAGGAAUCAUCGGUAGGUUUGGAUAACAAAAAUUCUUUCCACAAAUAGUAGAUGAUUUUAAUUUGAAUUACAUGAGAAAAUAUGAUAAUUGAAAGAGAGAAAUGAGGUGAAUAUUAUUUAUAUUUAUAAUUAAAUUUAAAAAAAUAAUAUGAAAUUUGGGUACUAAAAUAUUAAUUUUUUUUAUUAAAAAUCACUAAGUAUGAUAAAUGAUGAGUCUCCAAUUUGACAAGUCAACUUUAUAUAACGCUUGCUCGGUUAAAUAUUUCUGCAAUGAAAUCAUCAUGUCCUCAUCCAGUUCUAUCUUCGUUAUUUUAACCGCAGCAAUGCUGGGAUCUGAAAUCAUUGUCCCCCAUAUAUUAGAUACAUACAUACAUACACAUAACUCGUCAGUGAUAAUUAUGUCUCGUUUAAUGGUAUAAUCGCUAAAUUAAUCAAAGCUUGCUGCCAAACAUCAAGGUGUAUCAUAUUAAAAACUGUUUUACUUGUUGAGUUACUUACUGGAGAAGGAAUUUUUUUUUUUUUUUUUUUUUUUGGCUUAGCAAAGUGACAUAAGUUUAUUUUAGUAGCGCAUCGGAGACUCUCACGACAUUUCCCUAAGUGAACCGAUCAUGCAAAUCAUAAUCUAUUUAUAUCACGCUUUGUGCAAUUAAUGGUGACGUAGACCUCAUUGUCUAAGAAAGAAGUAUUGGAUUGCAUCGAUUCCAAACAUUAAAUGUUAGAUCAUUUUUGUUAAGAAUUUGUGUAGAUUUGUCUAAAAAUUUCAGCUUAUUUUUUUAAAUUAAUAUCAUAUCUUAUCGCUCUAAUUAAAAAUAAAAAUUAUUAUCGAUAACGAUGAUAAAAUAAAUUAUAAUAACAUAUUCUCUUUUUAAUAUAAAUAGAAUCUUUUUUAUUUUCGAUAAAUUCGAAACAGUAUCUAUUGAAUAGAUGUACUGAUUAAUCAAAAAAGAUAAAUUCAUUCACAAAUUUACUUUCUUUAUUUUUGUAACUUUAAUUGAACGUUUUAAUAAUUUUUUUGAAUUUAAAAAAAAUUUUUUUUUUUUUAGUUGCUACAAGAAAAUUAUUUGAUUAAGAAUACUGAUGGAACUCUGAUACCAUCUUGGAUUUCAAUAUCAUCAAAAAUCUUAUCAACUUCUAAAUAUAAGAUGAGUUUGAACCAAAAAUGUUCGAGAGAAAGAGAAACAGAGAGAGAGUGAGAAAAAAAGAAGGAAAAAAAAGGAGUAUUGUGUGUUGUUCAUUAAUAACUUAUUAUGUAUUUAUACAUAGAGAAAAAGUAAUUAAUUAACUUAAUUACAAUUGAUUAACAUUGACUACAAGAUUAAUAAAAAAUUAUAUUAACUAUUUCAACUAAUUUAGUUACACUAACUAAAUCUAGUUACUUUCUACUAACUAUUCUAUUAAUUUUAAAUUAAUGUUGCAUUCAAUUUUGACUUAAAAAAUUUCAUGUCCAAUUCAAAUUAAUUAUCUUAGUAAUUCAUUUUUUAACAAAUAAAAUACAACAAUUCCACUGCUAUCAAACUGAAAAUAUUAUUAAUGUUUACUGUAUUAUGUCAUAUUAAAAACGUAUAAACUACAACUAAAUUUUGUGUAUUGAAUAAUAAGCAUUUAAAAGUAGAACUAAAAUAAAAUAUAUUUACUGUUAAAAAAUUAGUUAUUUCAAUAAAUAUUACUGUAACACCCAACUUACAAUUAUUUUUUAAUAUAAUUCCAAUUACAAAAAUAAUUGGUCUACUUUUUUAUUGAAUAUACUAUUUGGUGCUGCUGAGAAAAGUUGCAUGAAACACUUAUUGAGAGGAGAAAACAAGGGAAUCAAAUGACAAAAUGUGACUUACCAGUCUCUCCAAUGAUUGAAAUGAAGACCCAUUAUUUUCUCCCAAACAAACCCUAGCUUUCUCCUUCCAUUCCAAAACCCUCUUCCUAAUCUCCUUCCCUUCUUCGCCCACCAUUGCUCCUCUUAUCACCCUCUCAAUCUCCUCUCUCUCAAUUAACUUCCCACUUUCAAAUCCCAACCCAACCCUCCAAACAUCUCUCACAUACCUUGCAUUCACCUUUUGGUCAGUAAAAAAUGGCAUACAAAUCAUGGGCACUCCUUCACAAACACUCUCCAAUGUUGAAUUCCACCCAUUAUGAGUCCAAAAUACAGCAACAGAACGAUGGGCUAGAAUCUGGUGUUGUGGUGCCCAUUUCACUAUGAGUCCUCUUUCUCUCAAGUCUCCAAUUAACCCUUUUGGCAACAGAUCAAGCCAGUCCGACCCGUUUAUUAAUCCGGGUCGGACUACCCACAAGAAUGGUUGCUUGCUAUUGGCUAAUCCCCAAGCUAUUUCCACAAAGUCUUGUUCGUUUAGUGCUGCUAGGGUGCCAAAGCUGACAUAGAUGACUGAGCUGGCCGCCUGCUUGUCUAGCCAAUCUAUGGCGGCGGUUUGGUCAGGUUGUGUUGGCGGGCUGCUUGGCAAGAGUUUGUGAAAUGGGCCAAUGGGAAAGAUUGGGACUUGAAAGUCUUGGCUGAUAGCUGUAAUUGCAGGGUCUUCAAGCUCUUGAAAUGUGUUGAAUAUGACUCCUGCACUGGACUUGGUACCAUCGAUCAUUCCAUUGACGAGCUCGAACAGAUCUUCCGGAUUGUUGGUUUUGAUCACCGGUAAGUCUUUCACUUUGAGAUGUGGAAACUCAGCAACUUGUUCUUCUAAUCGAGAUUCUGAUGCCCAAAUCAAUAAACUCAAUUACAUACAUAUUUUUCAAUAAAGAAAUCAUGGCAUCUAUUAUCAUAUAUAUAUAUAUAUAUAUAUAGUUGAUGAUAUGUAUAGAUAUGUACAAUAUACCCUGAAUAGGGAGAUAACCCUUUUCCCUUAAAAAUGGGAAAGCAGCAAAAACAGAGAAAGAAGUUGAACCGCUAGUUCUCAAAACCAAUCUGGGCAGCUUAAGUUGUCGAGCAGCUUCCCCUGUAAAAGUAAAACCCGCGUCUGAAAUCAAGCAAGAAAUUGGAGAUUCAUGAUCAUCUGAGAUCAACCGAGCCAAACAGUCCGUUAAAGGUUGAAGGCAGUUGGCGUUGAGAACUUUGAGGAAGGCAACGAUAUCUGUUUGGGAUUGAGAGAGGAUAUUUUCAUGGAGGAAAUGAAAGCGGAUGUGAGGGUGGAGAGAAGGGUCUGGAGAGUUGAAGGUGGUGUGGACAACGGUGAUGGAGAAGCCUCUGGUAUGGAGAAGGUUACCCAGUUGGAUCAUGGGACGUAUGUGACCUUGAAAUGGCAAUGGGAACAAGACGACUCUCCUCCCUUUUCUUUCUUCCAUUUUUUUGUGGAUGAUAUGAUUUGCUUCUUCAUCUUUGUACGCCUUUUAUUUUGACAACUUGCCGGUGACUAGAGCCGGGUAAUGCUUAUAUAUAGCAUUUAUAUAUUUCUAUAUAAUUACAAAUAAUAUGAGAACAUGUGGUUGAAAAUUAUUUUAUUCCAAAUUUUGUAAAAUCAUUAAUAAAUUAAACUAAUUGAAAUUAAAAAUAAAAGUUUUUCUCUCCCCACCGACACCAGAACUGCCACCAAUACAACUGCAUACAUUUUGACUAUACACAUAUUAUGAUUAACCGAAUUUUGCCUAUGUUCGAGUUAUAUAAAUAGUUUACGUUUGGAUAAAUUAGGUGAACGAUUGUAUUAUUUGUAGGGUUCCCUCUUUAUAAUAUAUAUAUAUAUAUAUAUGUAUAUAUGAUAUAUAUAUAUAUAAGAUUGUAACUAUUACCGGAACAUGAGGACAGGAAGGGACGGUGAAAAGCGACGUGACUACGACGGCUUUCGGCCUAUUUCAACAGAUGUGAAUUUAAAUUUCUAAAUUCAAAAUUAAGACUUUAAUGUGUUUUUAAAUAUAUUUAUAUAUAAAUUAAUUUUAAUUUAAAACACUAAUUAUAUGGUAUUUAAUUUCCUAAAAAAUAAGAUAAUUACAAUUCAACAUUGAUUAAACCUAAUUAUUUAGUUAAAUAACAAAUUCUACAAAAUUAUAAAUAAAAAUUGUUUAUGUAUAAAUGUCCACUAAAACUCUUAUCUGCAUGUUGUUGUCCAGAUGUAUUAAUGUCCAAACUUCUUUCAUGUUGUAGUACCAUAUGUAUUUAUACAGAGAGAGUAACACUAAUUAAUUAAUUUAAUUACAACUGAUUAACAUUGGUUAUAGGAAUAACCCAUGUUAAUCAACUAAUAUACUUAUAUUAACUCAAUCUGACUUACAUCUAGUUACUUUCUACUACUAACUAUUCUAUAAAUUUUAAAUUGAUGUUAUAAUUAAAACAUUUACAUCCAAUUCAAAUUAAUUAUCUUGGUAAUUCAUUUUUUAACAAAUAAAAUACAAAAUAUUCCACUCCUAUCAAACUUAUUUAUUGUAUUAUGCUAUAUUAAAUAUAUAACUUGUCAAUUAAAUAAUAAGGAUUAAAAGUGGAAUUAAAAUAAAAUAUAUUUAAAUCAAAGGGGACAUUUAACUGUUAAAAAAUUAGUUAUUUCAAUAAAUAUUACAGCACCCAACAUUACAACUAUUUUUUAAUGCGAUUCCGAUUGCAAAAAAAAUAUAUAUAUGUUCUACAUUUUUUAUUCAUUGUACUACUUGGUGCUACUCAAAAAACUUGCCUGAAGCACUUAUUGAGAGGAGAAAACAAGGGAAUCAAAUGACGAAAUGUGACUUACCAGUCUCUCCAGUGAUUCAAAUGAAGACCCAUUGUUUGCCCCCAAACAAUCCCUAGCCUUCUCCUUCCAUUCCAAAACCCUCUUCCUAAUCUCCUUCCCUUCUUCACCCACCAUUGCUCUUCUUAUCACCCUCUCAAUCUCCUCUCUCUCAAUUAACUUACCACUUUCAAAUCCCAACCCAACCCUCCAAAUAUCCCUUGCAUACCUUGCAUUCACCUUUUGAUCGGUAAAACAUGGCAUACAAAUCAUGGGUACCCCUUCACAAACACUCUCCAAUGUUGAAUUCCACCCAUUGUGAGUCCAAAAUACAGCAACUGAAGGAUGGGCCAGAACCUGGAGUUGUGGUGCCCAUUUCACUAUGAGUCCUCUUUCUCUCAAGUCUCCAAUUAACCCUUUUGGCAACAGAUCAACCCAGUCCGACCCGUUUACUAAUCCGGGUCGGACCACCCACAAGAAUGGCUGCUUGCUGUUGGCUAAUCCCCAAGCUAUUUCCACAAAGUCUUGUUCGUUUAGUGCUGCUAAGGUGCCAAAGCUGACAUAGAUGACUGAGCUGGGCGCCUGCUUGUCUAGCCAAGUUAUGGCGGCGGUUUGGUCAGGCUGCGUUGGUGGGCUGUUUGGUAAGAGUUUGUGAAAUGGACCAAUGGGAAAGAUUGGAACUUGAAAAUCUUGGCUGAGAGCUGCAAUUGCAGCGUCUUCAAGCUCUUGAAAUGUGUUGAAUAUUACUCCUGCACUGGACUUGGCUCCAUUGACCAUUCCACUGACGUGCUCGAACAGAUAAUCUGGAUCGCAGGUUUUUAUCACCGGUAAGUCUUUCACUUUGAGAUGUGGAAACUCUGCAACUUGUUCUUCUAAUCGAGAUUCUGGUACCCAAAUCAAUAAACCCAGUUACAGACAUAUUUUUUCAAUAGAAAAAUCAUGACAUCUAUUAUUAUUAUUAUAUAUAUAUAUAUAUAUAUAUAGUUGGUGAAUACGUAUAGAUAUGUAAAAUAUACCCUGAAUAGGGAGAUAACCCUUUUCCCUUAAAAAUGGGAAAGCAGCAAAAACAAAGAAAGAAGUUACACCGCCGGUUCUCAGAACCAAUCUGGGCAGAUUAAGUUGGCGAGCAACUUCCCCAGUAAAAGUAAAACCCGCGUCUGAAAUGAAGCAAGAAAUUGGAGAUUCAUGAUCAUCUGAGAGCAACCGAGCCAAGCAGUCUGUAAAAGAUUGAAGGCAGUUGGUGUUUAGAACUUUGAGGAAGGCAAUGAUAUCUGUUUGGGAUUGAGAGAGAAUAUCUUCAUGGAGGAAAUGAAAGGUGAAGUGAGGGUAGAGAGAAGGGUCAGGAGAGUUGAAGGUGGUGUGGACGAUGGUGAUGGAGAAUCCUCUGGUAUGGAGAAGGUUACCCAGUUGGAUCAUGGGACGUAUGUGACCUUGAAAUGGCAAUGGGAACAAGACGACUCUCCUCCCUUUUCUUUCUUCCAUUUUUAUUUUUUUUGGUGUGGAUGACAUGAUCUGCUUCUCCAUUC
rnacentral:lncRNA from 1 species